rnacentral:pre_miRNA from 1 species
UAGUUUUAUCCGAAGUCAAACUUUAAUUUUGACCAAGUUUAUAGGAAAAAUAUAUUAACAUCUACAAUAUCAAAUAAAUGCACUACCAAGACAUUCUUUGUGGUGAAUUUAAUGAAACUGAUUUGAUGUUGUAGAUAUUGGUUUAUUUUCUAUAAACUUGGUCAAAUUUAGAGAAGUUUGACUUAGGAGAAAACUUU